rnacentral:rRNA from 1 species
CUUAUGCGUUGUUGAGUAGGGGAGCGUUCUGUAAGCCUGUGAAGGUGUGCUGUGAGGCAUGCUGGAGGUAUCAGAAGUGCGAAUGCUGACAUAAGUAACGAUAAAGCGGGUGAAAAGCCCGCUCGCCGGAAGACCAAGGGUUCCUGUCCAACGUUAAUCGGGGCAGGGUGAGUCGACCCCUAAGGCGAGGCCGAAAGGCGUAGUCGAUGGGAAACAGGUUAAUAUUCCUGUACUUGGUGUUACUGCGAAGGGGGGACGGAGAAGGCUAUGUUGGCCGGGCGACGGUUGUCCCGGUUUAAGCGUGUAGGCUGAUUUUCCAGGCAAAUCCGGAAAAUCAAGGCUGAGGCGUGAUGACGAGGCACUACGGUGCUGAAGCAACAAAUGCCCUGCUUCCAGGAAAAGCCUCUAAGCAUCAGGUAACAUCAAAUCGUACCCCAAACCGACACAGGUGGUCAGGUAGAGAAUACCAAGGCGCUUGAGAGAACUCGGGUGAAGGAACUAGGCAAAAUGGUGCCGUAACUUCGGGAGAAGGCACGCUGAUAUGUAGGUGAAGUCCCUCGCGGAUGGAGCUGAAAUCAGUCGAAGAUACCAGCUGGCUGCAACUGUUUAUUAAAAACACAGCACUGUGCAAACACGAAAGUGGACGUAUACGGUGUGACGCCUGCCCGGUGCCGGAAGGUUAAUUGAUGGGGUUAGCGGCAACGCGAAGCUCUUGAUCGAAGCCCCGGUAAACGGCGGCCGUAACUAUAACGGUCCUAAGGUAGCGAAAUUCCUUGUCGGGUAAGUUCCGACCUGCACGAAUGGCGUAAUGAUGGCCAGGCUGUCUCCACCCGAGACUCAGUGAAAUUGAACUCGCUGUGAAGAUGCAGUGUACCCGCGGCAAGACGGAAAGACCCCGUGAACCUUUACUAUAGCUUGACACUGAACAUUGAGCCUUGAUGUGUAGGAUAGGUGGGAGGCUUUGAAGUGUGGACGCCAGUCUGCAUGGAGCCGACCUUGAAAUACCACCCUUUAAUGUUUGAUGUUCUAACGUGGGCCCCUAAUCGGGGUUGCGGACAGUGUCUGGUGGGUAGUUUGACUGGGGCGGUCUCCUCCUAAAGAGUAACGGAGGAGCACGAAGGUUGGCUAAUCCUGGUCGGACAUCAGGAGGUUAGUGCAAUGGCAUAAGCCAGCUUGACUGCGAGCGUGACGGCGCGAGCAGGUGCGAAAGCAGGUCAUAGUGAUCCGGUGGUUCUGAAUGGAAGGGCCAUCGCUCAACGGAUAAAAGGUACUCCGGGGAUAACAGGCUGAUACCGCCCAAGAGUUCAUAUCGACGGCGGUGUUUGGCACCUCGAUGUCGGCUCAUCACAUCCUGGGGCUGAAGUAGGUCCCAAGGGUAUGGCUGUUCGCCAUUUAAAGUGGUACGCGAGCUGGGUUUAGAACGUCGUGAGACAGUUCGGUCCCUAUCUGCCGUGGGCGCUGGAGAACUGAGGGGGGCUGCUCCUAGUACGAGAGGACCGGAGUGGACGCAUCACUGGUGUUCGGGUUGUCAUGCCAAUGGCACUGCCCGGUAGCUAAAUGCGGAAGAGAUAAGUGCUGAAAGCAUCUAAGCACGAAACUUGCCCCGAGAUGAGUUCUCCCUGACUCCUU